rnacentral:rRNA from 1 species
GCAGCCGCGGUAAUACGUAGGGAGCGAGCGUUAUCCGGAUUUAUUGGGUGUAAAGGGUGCGUAGGCGGAAAGAUUAGUCUAAAGUGUAAGGCUGGAGCUCAACUCCAGUUUGCUUUGGAAACUGUCUUUCUUGAGUAUGGUAGAGGCAAGUGGAAUUUCUAGUGUAGCGGUAGAAUGCGUAGAUAUUAGAAGGAACACCAGUGGCGAAGGCGGCUUGCUGGGCCAUCACUGACGCUGAGGCACGAAAGCGUGGGGAGCAAAUAGGAUUAGAUACCCC